rnacentral:rRNA from 1 species
CCUACGGGAGGCACCAGUAGGGAAUCUUCCACAAUGGACGGAAGUCUGAUGGAGCAACGCCGCGUGAGUGAAGAAGGGUUUCGGCUCGUAAAACUCUGUUGUUAGAGAAGAACAGGUGUAAGAGUAACUGCUUACAUUUCGACGGUAUCUAACCAGAAAGUCACGGCUAACUACGUGCCAGCAGCCGCGGUAAUACGUAGGUGGCAAGCGUUGUCCGGAUUUAUUGGGCGUAAAGGGAGCGCAGGUGGUCUUUUAAGUCUGAUGUGAAAGCCUUCGGCUUAACCGAAGAAGUGCAUCGGAAACUGAAUGACUUGAGUGCAGAAGAGGACAGUGGAACUCCAUGCGUAGCGGUGAAAUGCGUAGAUAUAUGGAGGAACACCAGUGGCGAAGGCGACUGUCUGGUCUGUUACUGACACUGAGGCUCGAAAGCAUGGGUAGCAAACAGGAUUAGAUACCCGAGUAGUC